rnacentral:rRNA from 1 species
UACGUAGGGCGCAAGCGUUGUCCGGAAUUAUUGGGCGUAAAGAGCUCGUAGGCGGUCUGUUGCGUCCGCUGUGAAAACUCGGGGCUUAACCCCGGGCCUGCAGUGGAUACGGGCAGACUAGAGGUAGGUAGGGGAGAAUGGAAUUCCCGGUGUAGCGGUGAAAUUCGUAGAUAUGGGGAGGAACACCGGUGGCGAAGGCGGCCAUCUGGACGGAUACUGACGCUGAGACGCGAAAGCGUGGGUAGCAAACAGG